CCUUAUGGGUAGGGCUUCACACGUCAUACAAUGGUCGGUACAGAGGGUUGCCAAGCCGCGAGGUGGAGCCAAUCCCAGAAAGCCGAUCGUAGUCCGGAUUGCAGGCUGCAACUCGCCUGCAUGAAGUCGGAAUCGCUAGUAAUCGCGGAUCAGCAUGUCGCGGUGAAUACGUUCCCGGGUCUUGUACACACCGCCCGUCACACCAUGGGAGCGGGUUCCGCCAGAAGUAGGUAGCCUAACCGCAAGGGGGGCGCUUACCACGGCGGGGUUCGUGA
rnacentral:rRNA from 1 species